rnacentral:sRNA from 1 species
AUGGCAAAUAAGUACAUGAAAAGAUGCUCAAAGUCGUAAGUCAUUAGGGAAAUAUAAAUUUAAACCAUAAUGAGAUACCACUGAACACUCCCUAGAAUGGCUGUAAUGAAUAGGAUUAGUCACAUGGUGACAAGAAUGGAGGAUCAUCUGGAACUCUCAUACACUGAAAAUAGGAAUGUGAAAUGGAUCAACUACUUUGGAAGACAAUUGGGCAGUUUCUUUCAGAGUAAAUGUGAAGAUGCCAUACGAUUCAUCCAUUCCAAUUCUAAUUAUUCAAGAGAAAUGAAACUGUAUAUCCACAAAAAAGACUUGUACACAAACAUUCACAGCAGCUUUAUUGGUAAUAGCUAAAAACUGUAAACAGCUCACAUAUCCAUCAAGUGUAUGGAUAAACAAAUUUGGUGUAUUUAUACAAUGGAAUACUACUCGGCAAUAAAAAGAACAGUUGAUACUCUCAACAACCUAGAUGGACCUCAGAAUAAUUCGGUUUAAUGAAUGAAGCCAAACUUAAGAAGAGUACAUUGUAUGUACUUGGAGAACUAAUUUCUUGCAAUAGAUUUUUAAGCACUAUUAGGAGCAUAUGACUUAAACAGUUUUUAAAAGUCAGGGAGUAAGUAUGCUUAAAUAAAAUACAAUCUGUGAAACAAAUCUCUGAAUUAUUAUCACUUCACUGGACACUCUAACUUGACCAUAUUUCUGACUUUAAUGUAACUCACUCUUAUUCCGUAGUCACAUGUUUGCUUGCUCAUUGGUUCACAUAACAUUUAUUCAGCAUCUGUUUGAGCCAAGGCACUGUAACUGCAUGUUUUUUUUAGUUACCUACUUUUGUAAGGUCCUUUUUCUUUGGCUACAUCUGAUUACAGUAAACAUAGGAAGUUUAAUAAAACAAUUUUCAUGACUGAGGA